CACAAAUAUAUAACAAAUAUAUUUAAAAAAUUAACAAUUUUACUAACAUGUGAACUAAACCUGAACCGUGAUUUCAAAAGUGAAAGCUCCAAUCUCAGACUCACAGAGUAGAAGUAACAUUGAAUUGAAGCCCAAAUCGAGAUCAGAACCGUGCCCCUCUGUCUUUUGCUCCGUGAUUCCCAAUCUGAGAAUAGAAGUAACGGUGGUGCGAAUAUGACUAAUAUGACUAAGUUCCGGAGACUAGGUCGACCCACCGGUCACCGAAUGUCCAUGCUCAGAACCAUGGUCUCCCAGCUCAUCAAGCACGACCGCAUCGAAACCACUGUUCCCAAGGCUAAAGAGGUUUGCAGACUCGCUGAUAACAUGGUUCAGCUUGGCAAGCAGAUCACAGUUAAGGCACUACCACAAACUACUACAACCAGUCAACCAGAAGUCAACCCCCUUCUUACCAUUUGUUCCUUCAGAUCUGAUCACUUCUCUUCAGAAACAUGGCUGCAGAAGCUGUUUUGUCUUCCGUUCUUAGUGUUGUUUUUGACAGGAUGUCCUCUCCUGAAGUUGUUAACUGGAUCAAAGGGAAGAAGCUUACUCAGAACCUGAUUGAAAGGUUGAAGACUAAUCUUUUUGCUGUUCAAGCCUUUCUCAUUGAUGCUGAGCAGAAGCAGAUCAAGGACAGACCUGUCAAGGACUGGCUUGAUAGUCUCAAACAUGCCAUGUAUGUUGCUGAUGACUUGCUCGAUGAAGUCUUCACCAAAGCUGCCACUCAGAAGGAUCCAGGUACCUUCCUCUCUCGUUUUCUCAAUUUGCAAGAUAGGGAUGUAGCAAACAGGAUGGAGGAAGUCAUUGAUAGGAUAGAGUCUCUUGUGAUUCAAAAAGACACUCUUGGUCUCAGAGAGAUUCCUAAGGAGAACAUGUCAUGGAGGAUCACUACAUCUCUAGUUGAAACAUCUGAUGUAUGUGGCAGGGAAGAAGACAAGGAGGCCAUAGUAAAACUCUUGUUGGAUGAUAAUGGUGAUGAUGAUACUGGUGGUCAUAGUGAUGUAUCUGUGAUUCCCAUUGUGGGCAUGGGUGGGAUAGGAAAGACUACUUUGGCCCAAUUGGUUUAUCAGGAUGACAAAGUGAAGGAGAAUUUUGAUUUUCAAGCUUGGAUUUGUGUGUCAGAAGAGUUUGAUGUUUUCAAGGUUACGAAGACUAUAAUCGAGGCAAUAACUUCAAGUUUUUGCAGCUUGACGGAUUUGAAUUUGCUUCAGCAUGAUUUAAAAGAAAAGUUGUCAAGGAAAAAGUUCUUUGUGGUCUUGGACGAUGUAUGGAGUGAAAGUUACGAAGAUUGGGAUAAACUUCUAAAACCUUUUCGAAAUGGGGUCAAGGGAAGUAAAAUUCUCAUAACAACUAGAAGUAAAAGAGUGGCUUCUGUGGUGCAAACUGUUUCACCUUAUGAACUGAGCUUAUUGUCUGAGGAAGAUUGUUGGUUGGUGUUUUCAAAACAUGCACGUCUCUCAACUGGUUCUAUGGAGAAUCCAACCUUGAAAAAAGUUGGCAGAGAUCUUGUAAAGAAGUGUGAUGGAUUGCCCUUGGCAGCUCAAUCCCUUGGAGGCUUAUUGCGUGGAAAUUCUGAUAUCAAGUAUUGGAAUCAUUUAUUGAAGAGUGAGAUCUGGGAACUCUCCGAUGAUAAGAUAAAGGUUGUUCCUGCGUUAAGAAUCAGUUAUUACUAUCUUCCUUCGAAUUUAAAGGAGUGCUUUGUUUAUUGUUCUUUAUAUCCCAAAGACUAUGAAUUUAGCAAAGAUGAAUUGAUAUUGUUAUGGAUGGCAGAGAAUUUCUUGCAACCAGCAGGAAAAAAGACUCCAGAAGAAGUUGGUGAUGAAUAUUUUGAUGAAUUGAUUGCAAGAUCAUUUUUCCAACCUCAUAAGAUUCAUGAAAACAAGUUUGUGAUGCAUGAUCUCGUGCAUGAUUUGGCAAUGAUAUUUGCUGGAGAAUUCUAUUUCAGAGCUGAAGAGCUUGAGAAUGCAGUUGAGCUUGAUAUUAAAACUCGUCGUUUGUCACAUAAUGCCAAAGGCAAUUAUCCAAUCUCAAAACUUUUGGGAGUUUGUGACCGAAUAAAACACACAAGGACAUUUCUUGGACUCAAUUUGAAUUCACAGAUUCCAUUUAACAUGGAAAAUGCACCUUGUAUCUUGUUGUCAAAGUUGAAGUACCUGAGGGCUUUGUCGUUCAAUUGCUUUCCUCUUGAGUCAUUGCCUGAUUCAAUAGGCGAGUUGAUUCAUUUGCGUUACUUGGAUUUGUCUUGGACCUACAUCAUGACAUUGCCCGAUACGCUUUGCAACUUGUACAAUUUACAAACAUUGAAGCUGGUUGGAUGUCGGAAACUAAAAACCCUUCCUGUUAGCAUGAAAGAUCUUACAAACUUGCGUUACCUUGAUAUUAGCGGGACUGGUUUGCAUGAGAUGCCGGAAGGCAUGAGCAAAUUGACAAGUUUGCAGGUUUUAAGCAAGUAUGUUGUCGGGAAGCGUGAAGGGAACAAGAUUAAUGAAUUGGGAGCACUUGCAAAUCUACACCAAACAAUUUUCAUUGACAAAUUGGAAAAUGUGGUCAAUAGCAGCGAAGCAUUGGAGGCAAGAAUGUUUGAUAAGGAUGGCAUUGAAUGUUUGUUCUUGGAGUGGUCGCCAGAUGAAUAUGAGAAUACAGUUGAUUCACAAAUUGAAAGAGAUAUACUUGAAAAGUUACAACCUCAUAGUAAUUUGAAACAACUUCAAAUUUGGGGUUACAGGGGUACAACAUUUCCAGAUUGGUUGGGACAUUGUUCUUACCACAACAUUACCCAAAUAACACUGGGCGGUUUUUUUCCGGGUUAUUUCAAGAAUUGUUGUAUGCUUCCUUCACUUGGACAGUUGCCCUCUUUGAAGCACCUGGAAAUUUCAAAGUUUGAACGGCUUGCUAUUGUGGGGGAUGAGUUUUACCGAAAUUAUGAAUCUUGUCUGGAGACUCCAUUUCCAAUGCUUGAAACUCUUAGAUUUUACUCAAUGUCUUGCUGGGAGGAAUGGCGUUCAUUGGAGUUCAAUGCAUUUCCUCGACUUAGGGAGCUUAUCAUAUGGGAUUGUCCCAUGUUGAGAGGAGAUUUGCCAAAUCAACUACCAUCUUUGCGGUCACUUACUAUUCAGAAUUGCGAGCAGCUCAGUUGUUGUGUUCCAAGAGCUCCUGCGAUUACCUCUUUACGCAUAGAAGGAAGCAAUGAAGUGAGAAUUGGGGAACUAGCUCCUUUGCUGGAUAUUCUAUCAAUUACGGGAAAACAUCAAGUGGAGUCGGUGAUGGAGGCCAUUACGCAAACCAAACUCACUUGCCUCAGAUCUUUAUCCAUCUCAGGUUGUUCAUCCCACGUAUUGUUUCCAGUUGGUAGUAUUCCCGCAUCCCUACAAGAGCUGACGAUAUUGGAUUGCAAAAAAUUAGAAUUCCAAAUGGAAGGCCAACACCACUCAUUGCAUAAACUAAUGAUACAUAACAGCUGUGAUUCGGUUCCAUCCUUCUCCCUGGAUUCUUUUCCAAAUCUCGGGCGUGUUGAAAUCAGCAAGUGUGAAAAGAUGGAGUCUCUUGUGGUGUCACGCUCUCUUUCAUGUCUCCCUUAUUUAGAGAUAGAGAAUUGUGGGAGUUUGAAAUCCCUCAAGACGCAAUGGAUGGCAUCACCUCAGCUAGAAGAUCUAGGAUUACUUGGUUGCCCAGAGAUUGAUUUGUCUGCUACAGAGGAUCCACACCGUAGCUUGAGAUCUCUUACCAUCAGCUACUGCGAGAAACUACUCAGCGGUGCAGCAUCGCAAUUUCAUGGGGUUACUCAUCUUUGUAUUGAAGGUGAAAAUGAGAGUGUGAAGUCUCUUCCAAAGGAAGGUUGGUUGCCUGCCACCCUUGAGUCUCUCAAACUGAUCGGCAUCACAAGUGUGAAGAUGUUGGAAUGCAAGGGACUUGCCCACCUCACCUCUCUCCAACAAUUAUCUAUUUAUUGUUGUUUCAAUUUGGAGAACAUUGACGGAGAAAAGCUGCCUGCCUCUCUAGUACGACUCAUCAUCGAUGGAAGCCCUUUGUUGGGUAAACGGUGUGAGAUGAAGGACCCGCAGGUUUGGCCCAAAAUUUCCCACAUCCCCGCCAUUCAAGUUGGUGGAAGAUGGAUUUGGUAAUCCAACAACUUCAACAGCUUUUCCAACAAGAGAUAACUUCUGCAGUUACGGUUUUGCUUUUGAUGCAUCACUGACAUAAGACAUUCAAUCAUUGUAACGGAGAGGAAUUCUGAGAAACAAGACAAUGAUAAUAACUGCAACACAGAAUGAAAUUCUCACCAUGAUUGCUUUCAUACAAGUGGUUAAAAAAUCUGAUGACAAAAGUGAAAGCAACUGAGCAACCAGGGAUAAUCAUGGACACAAUCCAAGAGAUUCAAGAGCGGCAUGACACAUUGAUUGAUAUAGAGAGGAGCCCCAAUGAACUUCAUCAAGUGUUCUUGGACAUGGCUGUUUUGGUCCAAUCACAAGGUAAGCAACUCCAUGACAUAGAGUGCCACGUGGCAAGAGUGAAUUCGUAUGUCUGCGGUGGGUCCAGCAGUUGCAGUUUGCAAGGAAGCACCAGAAGAAUUCCGGAAGUCCACAUUCAUUGGCAAUUUGGCAUCAUAAUAUUGAUCAUCAUCAUAUUGAUUAUAGUCCUUCUGUCGAGAAAUCAAGAGAAAUCAAGUCAACAUAUUCUGUCAGUGUGUCACAUUCACAUAACCAUUGCAUUGUAAAUUGUAAAAUAAUACCUUGUUUGUUUUUCUGGAACCUACCCUUUUGAAGAUUUAGAAUUUCAUGUUCAUGGUCUGGAAGGUUAUAUUUGUAGUGAAAUAAGAGUGCCAAAAAUUCACAAUUGAAAAGUAUAGGGAAUUCAGAAUAUUUAAAUGGUUAAACAAUGAAAAGGGAAUGAAUUAAGAUGAUGAUGAAGACAAUAUUGAAGAAUGCCAUAGUCUGUCCACUUGCAUUCACUAACCUUCUCCAUUAGUUGACAGCAGCUCCUUAUUAUUGGGGUUUAAUUCAUCAAUAGCCACUCUAAUCUCUUUGCCAUUAUUUUUCCUUCUUGGAAGAUUUAUGUUGGUACAUUCUUUUGCAUUCA